rnacentral:rRNA from 1 species
AUUGAACGCUGGCGGCAGGCCUAACACAUGCAAGUCGAGCGGAUGAGGGGUGCUUGCACCCCGAUUCAGCGGCGGACGGGUGAGUAAUGCCUAGGAAUCUGCCCGAUAGUGGGGGACAACGUUUCGAAAGGAACGCUAAUACCGCAUACGUCCUACGGGAGAAAGUGGGGGCUCUUCGGACCUCACGCUAUCGGAUGAGCCUAGGUCGGAUUAGCUAGUUGGUGGGGUAAAGGCUCACCAAGGCGACGAUCCGUAACUGGUCUGAGAGGAUGAUCAGUCAAACUGGAACUGAGACACGGUCCAGACUCCUACGGGAGGCAGCAGUGGGGAAUAUUGGACAAUGGGCGAAAGCCUGAUCCAGCCAUGCCGCGUGUGUGAAGAAGGUCUUCGGAUUGUAAAGCACUUUAAGUUGGGAGGAAGGGCUGUAGGCUAAUAUCCUGCAGUUUUGACGUUACCGACAGAAUAAGCACCGGCUAACUUCGUGCCAGCAGCCGCCGUAA